UACGUAGGGGGCGAGCGUUGUCCGAAGUUACUGGGCGUAAAGGGCGCGUAGGCGGCUCGUGAAGUCGGGUGUGAAAGCCCGGGGCUCAACCCCGGAACGGCAUCCGAUACUGGCGGGCUUGAGACCGGGAGAGGAGGGUGGAAUACCCAGUGUAGAGGUGGAAUUCGUAGAUAUUGGGUGGAACACCGGUGGCGAAAGCGGCUCUCUGGCCCGGAUCUGACGCUGAGGCGCGAAAGCGUGGGGAGCAAACAGG
rnacentral:rRNA from 1 species